rnacentral:rRNA from 1 species
UACGGAGGGUGCAAGCGUUAUCCGGAUUCACUGGGUUUAAAGGGUGCGUAGGUGGGCAAGUAAGUCAGUGGUGAAAUCUCCGGGCUUAACCCGGAAACUGCCAUUGAUACUAUUUGUCUUGAAUACUGUGGAGGUCAGCGGAAUAUGUCAUGUAGCGGUGAAAUGCUUAGAUAUGACAUAGAACACCCAUUGCGAAAGGCAGCUCGCUACACUAUCAUUGACACUGAGGCACGAAAGCGUGGGGAUCAAACAGG